rnacentral:tRNA from 1 species
GAGGGUAUAGCUCAGUGGUAGAGCACAUACGUAGCAUGCACAGUUCAUGGGUUCAAUCCCCAGUACCUCUG